rnacentral:pre_miRNA from 1 species
CAAUUACUCCCUCCGUUUGGAAUUACUUGUCGCAGAAAUGGAUGUAUCUAGAUGUAUUUUAGUUCUAGAUACAUCCAUAUCCGAGACAAGUAAUUCCGAACGGAGGGAGUACCAC